rnacentral:tRNA from 1 species
GAGUUUAGGUUAAAAUAAACCAAGGGCCUUCAAAGUCCUAAACAGGGGCCCCGCCCCCUAACUUUU